rnacentral:snRNA from 1 species
GGAUGUGAGGGCGAUCUGGCUGCGACAUCUGUCACCCCAUUGAUCGCCAGGGUUGAUUCGGCUGAUCUGGCUGGCUAGGCGGGUGUCCCCUUCCUCCCUCACCGCUCCAUGUGCGUCCCUCCCGAAGCUGCGCGCUCGGUCGAAGAGGACGACCUUCCCCGCUAGAGGAGGACCGGUCUUCGGUCAAGGGUAUACGAGUAGCUGCGCUCCCCUGCUAGAACCUCCAAACAAGCUCUCAAGGUCCAUUUGUAGGAGAACGUAGGGUAGUCAAGCUUCCAAGACUCCAGACACAUCCAAAUGAGGCGCUGCACGUGGCAGUCUGCCUUUCUUU